AAAUUGAAGAGUUUGAUCAUGGCUCAGAUUGAACGCUGGCGGCAGGCCUAACACAUGCAAGUCGAACGGUAACAGGAAGCAGCUUGCUGCUUUGCUGACGAGUGGCGGACGGGUGAGUAAUGUCUGGGAAACUGCCUGAUGGAGGGGGAUAACUACUGGAAACGGUGGCUAAUACCGCAUAACGUCGCAAGACCAAAGAGGGGGACCUUCGGGCCUCUUGCCAUCAGAUGUGCCCAGAUGGGAUUAGCUAGUUGGUGAGGUAACGGCUCACCAAGGCGACGAUCCCUAGCUGGUCUGAGAGGAUGACCAGCCACACUGGAACUGAGACACGGUCCAGACUCCUACGGGAGGCAGCAGUGGGGAAUAUUGCACAAUGGGCGCAAGCCUGAUGCAGCCAUGCCGCGUGUAUGAAGAAGGCCUUCGGGUUGUAAAGUACUUUCAGC
rnacentral:rRNA from 1 species